UGGAUAUAGUCUUUUUUAUAGUUUAUUAAACAAUUUACUAUGUCAGGAUUAAAAAAUAGCAGCAUAAGGUUGAUUUUUUAAAUUAGUAUAAAAGCUAUAUCUA
rnacentral:SRP_RNA from 1 species